UACAGAGGUCCCAAGCGUUGUUCGGAUUCACUGGGCGUAAAGGGUGCGUAGGCGGUCGGGUAAGUCUGAUGUGAAAUCUCACAGCUCAACUCUGGAAUUGCCUUUGAGACUGAGUGGCUUGAGUACGAGAGAGGUGAGUGGAAUUCCCAGUGUAGAGGUGAAAUUCGUAGAUAUUGGGAAGAACACCGGUGGCGAAGGCGGCUCACUGGCUCGUAACUGACGCUCAUGCACGACAGCGUGGGGAUCAAACAGG
rnacentral:rRNA from 1 species